GAUUCGUCACACUAUCAUUAACUGAAUCCAUAGGUUAAUGAGGCGAACCGGGGGAACUGAAACAUCUAAGUACCCCGAGGAAAAGAAAUCAACCGAGAUUCCCCCAGUAGCGGCGAGCGAACGGGGAGGAGCCCAGAGCCUGAAUCAGCAUGUGUGUUAGUGGAAGCGUCUGGAAAGGCGCGCGAUACAGGGUGACAGCCCCGUACACAAAAGCGCAUGUGCUGUGAGCUCGAUGAGUAGGGCGGGACACGUGGUAUCCUGUCUGAAUAUGGGGGGACCAUCCUCCAAGGCUAAAUACUCCUGACUGACCGAUAGUGAACCAGUACCGUGAGGGAAAGGCGAAAAGAACCCCGGCGAGGGGAGUGAAAAAGAACCUGAAACCGUGUACGUACAAGCAGUGGGAGCACCCUUCGGGGUGUGACUGCGUACCUUUUGUAUAAUGGGUCAGCGACUUAUAUUCUGUAGCAAGGUUAACCGUAUAGGGGAGCCGGAGGGAAACCGAGUCUUAACCGGGCGUUAAGUUGCAGGGUAUAGACCCGAAACCCGGUGAUCUAGCCAUGGGCAGGUUGAAGGUUGGGUAACACUAACUGGAGGACCGAACCGACUAAUGUUGAAAAAUUAGCGGAUGACCUGUGGCUGGGGGUGAAAGGCCAAUCAAACCGGGAGAUAGCUGGUUCUCCCCGAAAGCUAUUUAGGUAGCGCCUCGUGAAUUCAUCUCCGGGGGUAGAGCACUGUUUCGGCUAGGGGGCCAUCCCGGCUUACCAACCCGAUGCAAACUGCGAAUACCGGAGAAUGUUAUCACGGGAGACACACGGCGGGUGCUAACGUCCGUCGUGAAGAGGGAAACAACCCAGACCGCCAGCUAAGGUCCCAAAGUCAUGGUUAAGUGGGAAACGAUGUGGGAAGGCCCAGACAGCCAGGAUGUUGGCUUAGAAGCAGCCAUCAUUUAAAGAAAGCGUAAUAGCUCACUGGUCGAGUCGGCCUGCGCGGAAGAUGUAACGGGGCUAAACCAUGCACCGAAGCUGCGGCAGCGAACGUAUCACCCAAGACAACUUUACGGAGUUGACGAUUGACGGAGCGAAGCGACGUCAAAGCGUUCAUUAAAGUCGAGUUGGCUUAGGGAUACGUUCGUUGGGUAGGGGAGCGUUCUGUAAGCCUGUGAAGGUGUGUCGUGAGGCAUGCUGGAGGUAUCAGAAGUGCGAAUGCUGACAUAAGUAACGAUAAAGCGGGUGAAAAGCCCGCUCGCCGGAAGACCAAGGGUUCCUGUCCAACGUUAAUCGGGGCAGGGUGAGUCGACCCCUAAGGCGAGGCCGAAAGGCGUAGUCGAUGGGAAACGGGUUAAUAUUCCCGUACUUGGUGUUACUGCGAAGGGGGGACGGAGAAGGCUAUGUUGGCCGGGCGACGGUUGUCCCGGUUUAAGCGUGUAGGUGUGUGUUCCAGGUAAAUCCGGUUCACUUUAACACUGAGGCGUGACGACGAGGCACUACGGUGCUGAAGCAACAAAUGCCCUGCUUCCAGGAAAAGCCUCUAAGCAUCAGGUAACACGAAAUCGUACCCCAAACCGACACAGGUGGUCAGGUAGAGAAUACCAAGGCGCUUGAGAGAACUCGGGUGAAGGAACUAGGCAAAAUGGUGCCGUAACUUCGGGAGAAGGCACGCUGACACGUAGGUGAAGUGAUUUACUCAUGGAGCUGAAGUCAGUCGAAGAUACCAGCUGGCUGCAACUGUUUAUUAAAAACACAGCACUGUGCAAACACGAAAGUGGACGUAUACGGUGUGACGCCUGCCCGGUGCCGGAAGGUUAAUUGAUGGGGUCAGCGCAAGCGAAGCUCCUGAUCGAAGCCCCGGUAAACGGCGGCCGUAACUAUAACGGUCCUAAGGUAGCGAAAUUCCUUGUCGGGUAAGUUCCGACCUGCACGAAUGGCGUAAUGAUGGCCAGGCUGUCUCCACCCGAGACUCAGUGAAAUUGAACUCGCUGUGAAGAUGCAGUGUACCCGCGGCAAGACGGAAAGACCCCGUGAACCUUUACUAUAGCUUGACACUGAACAUUGAGCCUUGAUGUGUAGGAUAGGUGGGAGGCUUUGAAGUGUGGACGCCAGUCUGCAUGGAGCCGACCUUGAAAUACCACCCUUUAAUGUUUGAUGUUCUAACGUGGACCCGUAAUCCGGGUUGCGGACAGUGUCUGGUGGGUAGUUUGACUGGGGCGGUCUCCUCCUAAAGAGUAACGGAGGAGCACGAAGGUUGGCUAAUCCUGGUCGGACAUCAGGAGGUUAGUGCAAUGGCAUAAGCCAGCUUGACUGCGAGCGUGACGGCGCGAGCAGGUGCGAAAGCAGGUCAUAGUGAUCCGGUGGUUCUGAAUGGAAGGGCCAUCGCUCAACGGAUAAAAGGUACUCCGGGGAUAACAGGCUGAUACCGCCCAAGAGUUCAUAUCGACGGCGGUGUUUGGCACCUCGAUGUCGGCUCAUCACAUCCUGGGGCUGAAGUAGGUCCCAAGGGUAUGGCUGUUCGCCAUUUAAAGUGGUACGCGAGCUGGGUUUAGAACGUCGUGAGACAGUUCGGUCCCUAUCUGCCGUGGGCGCUGGAGAACUGAGGGGGGCUGCUCCUAGUACGAGAGGACCGGAGUGGACGCAUCACUGGUGUUCGGGUUGUCAUGCCAAUGGCACUGCCCGGUAGCUAAAUGCGGAAGAGAUAAGUGCUGAAAGCAUCUAAGCACGAAACUUGCCCCGAGAUGAGUUCUCCCUGAGACUUAGAGUCUCCUGAAGGAACGUUGAAGACGACGACGUUGAUAGGCCGG
rnacentral:rRNA from 1 species